rnacentral:lncRNA from 1 species
GCCUUAUGUAGCCUGAGGUGUUUUGACCCGUUUGGGAUUAAACACGCUUCAAAUAUACACAUUUACAUGUGACCAGAGUUUGUAGCUAUGGUAAAAGCGAGAUGUGAGCUGUAUGGAAAGCCCGCUUCUUUUACAUUAAGGAAGACCAUGUGUCGCUAUAUGAUUUUGGCGCCUCCAUGGCGGGAUUUUAGUUUUUUUCUGUCUUAACACAAAUAGCGGGAUUUUAGUUAUUUUUUUUUAUUAAAUAUACAUAUAUAUCAACGUAUUUGGUUUCCAAAUGGUUUUUAAGGUUCAUUUUUAGGGGUGUGUUAUAUAACAGGCUACUAAUAACUUUCCAAAUGGUUUUUAAGGUUCAUUUUUUAGUUUAUUAGACAAAUCACAUAAGAGAAUUGCCAUUUGUGUGUUGUGUAUCAAACUGAUAGCUGCUUUCGUUUGUUACAAUUUUACCCAUGAACAACGGUGUUUGUGGUAGCCGGCGAACACGAUGGUGGUGUUUUGUGGCGAUUAAGCAGCGGCAACAACGGUGGCUAGCGGCCACAGACACUCUCCGGCGUUAUCUGCAACCGAAUCAGCGCUGACGGUUCAAGGGUUUUAAGCUAGAUUAGCUGCCGAUGCGAUUUCGGUCUAAUUUAUCUUCUGGUGAACAUGCUGCUGGCUAAGAGGUUCAGGAAGAACUUAUUUGAUCCAGAAAUUAUGAAGAUGAAGAUUAGAACAUGUUCCACAUAGUGGGUUUUGCUUCUCAGGUAAAGUUCAUGUCCUGACAUUCAUCAUACUGGUUUUUAUCGUCCGAGUCGUCCGUA